CACAGAGGGAAGCUGUGAUGCCAGGAAGGGAGGCUUCACAUCUCCAACAGCUUCUGUGUCACCGUAGAUGAGCCAUCCCUGGGUUCCGGAGUCAGGAGCCUGAUACUCAGCACCAAGAACUUGGCACUGGGCAUGGCAGCUGGCACCUAACAGAUGGUCCAGAAGUGGUCAGAGGAUGAAGACCCUUGGAUUCCAGACUCACGGCUGGUCAUGGAGCUGCUUCCUGCCCUGCCCUCCUCAGUGGGGCUUGAAGCUGUGGUGUCCAGCGAAUAAGUCCUUCCCCUCCAUCGUGACCACUGGCUUCUCUCUAUCCGUCCUUGACUCACUGUCAUUAUAGGAGAAAGCAUCAGAUUUUAAGAAUUUUACCCAAUGAAACAGAAAUGAGAAGGGGACAAAAAGCAUAGAGGAUGUGAGGGACUCUUCAAAGGAUAUGUCUGCUGUGAAUGAUGAUGCUCAGCUCUGUGUUCAAGAUCAUCUAAAGCUAAAUAUGAAAUCUCCAUGAAGAUCGGCUGGUUUCUUCCCUUGUGCCUGUUGCUGGAGCCCCUCAUAAGCUGGGUUCCUGGUUCAUUUAGGGUGGUUUUUCUUUGUGGAAUAGCUGUGGUUAGCACUUUGCAGGUACACAGGUUAGCUUUUGCUCAAGAAAACUGAAAAUAAGUUCUAAAGCCUGUUAGGACUAUCUUGAUGCUGUACCAGGUCUGUUCAAAGAUAAAUAUUAAAUGAGGUUGUUGAAGUAGCAGGCUGUAGCCUCGGAUUCAAGUUUUAAAAGGAUGCCAAGGAGGAAGAACUGAGAAGCUGAACUUUAUACAAAUUAAUUUUUUCUGUUCUGAGAAAAGAUGGUGUCAAGUGGAUAAGACAGGCCACAGAUAGCAGAAAACAUUUAUAACUCAAGCUUGUGGUGUCCGUAUCCAAGAUGCAAGAAACCUAAACCUAAACAGCCAGAAAACAAUGACUUCAUUAAAACUGGAGCUAAGAUCUUAGCUUAGAGCUAAGAUCCACCAAAGAAGAUGGCUGUGAACAUUUGAAAAGACAACCAGAAGUCAGAGGACCCUCAGAGAGAAUCGUGAAGUGUGGCUUUAUGGACAUUUCCCAGGAUGGGAACCAUCAAUUCCUCAGUCUUCCCCAUGCAGCAGAUUGAAGACACCUUACUCCCUGAAGUAUCGCAGAUCACUGUGGAGGACACGGCUCUGUUUCUAGUUGCUAUCUCUUGCCAGGCUGGGAAGACUGUCUUCUGAGACUAGUUAUGUAUUGAACACGGUCCCGGCCUUUUCCCCCUAGGCUACCUGUUCAGAGUGCUUCAGUUAACUAGAAGACUCAUGUAUAGUGUGCUAUUCUCUACACCAUGCCAUGGGAAGACAUCAGCUAAUUUCUCUUUCAUCUGUGAAUGAAGCAUUGAGGACCAGUCAGUCAUCUUGCCUGUGUGUCCCGUGAGUUUCAGCCCUGGCUGUAGGAAUGCAACAUCUUUAGUUCUAAGUAAUUCUUCUGAUUAUAUCCCUUAUGGGUUAAAUUAAAAAGCAAGGCUUUCAGCUGACCUUCUGGGGAGGCGUUUCUG
ensembl:lncRNA